rnacentral:rRNA from 1 species
GGUCAUUGGAAACUGGGGAACUUGAGUGCAGAAGAGGAGAGUGGAAUUCCACGUGUAGCGGUGAAAUGCGUAGAGAUGUGGAGGAACACCAGUGGCGAAGGCGACUCUCUGGUCUGUAACUGACGCUGAGGAGCGAAAGCGUGGGGAGCGAACAGGAUUAGAUACCCUGGUAGUCCACGCCGUAAACGAUGAGUGCUAAGUGUUAGGGGGUUUCCGCCCCUUAGUGCUGCAGCUAACGCAUUAAGCACUCCGCCUGGGGAGUACGGUCGCAAGACUGAAACUCAAAGGAAUUGACGGGGGCCCGCACAAGCGGUGGAGCAUGUGGUUUAAUUCGAAGCAACGCGAAGAACCUUACCAGGUCUUGACAUCCUCUGACAAUCCUAGAGAUAGGACGUCCCCUUCGGGGGCAGAGUGACAGGUGGUGCAUGGUUGUCGUCAGCUCGUGUCGUGAGAUGUUGGGUUAAGUCCCGCAACGAGCGCAACCCUUGAUCUUAGUUGCCAGCAUUCAGUUGGGCACUCUAAGGUGACUGCCGGUGACAAACCGGAGGAAGGUGGGGAUGACGUCAAAUCAUCAUGCCCCUUAUGACCUGGGCUACACACGUGCUACAAUGGACAGAACAAAGGGCAGCGAAACCGCGAGGUUAAGCCAAUCCCACAAAUCUGUUCUCAGUUCGGAUCGCAGUCUGCAACUCGACUGCGUGAA